rnacentral:rRNA from 1 species
UACGUAGGGUGCGAGCGUUGUCCGGAAUUAUUGGGCGUAAAGAGCUCGUAGGCGGUCUGUCGCGUCGGUCGUGAAAACUUGGGGCUUAACCCUGAGCUUGCGGUCGAUACGGGCAUGACUGGAGUUCGGCAGGGGAGACUGGAAUUCCUGGUGUAGCGGUGAAAUGCGCAGAUAUCAGGAGGAACACCGGUGGCGAAGGCGCCACUCUGGGCCGAAACUGACGCUGAGGAGCGAAAGCGUGGGUAGCAAACAGG